GCAAUGGCUGCGGCUAAACAAACAGUCAUCUGCAGUAAGAUGUUUUUCUUAGUGGAAGGAUAACAAAUGUGCCAGUACCUUCACAUAAUAAACGACAAUGAUUUUAUAGACGGGCACGAAGACAGACCGACAUCACUGAGUGGAGUGGAUGAAACGCCUUUGAAUGUGGCAGCGGUGCAGGUAAUGAGUCCCGACAUUCUCAGAAAAUAGAAAUGGAGGCCGAACCUGCAGAUGUGGAUGGCAGUGAUGUGAAUGAUGGAGCAUCUACACAGAAAAGAUGCUGGAAUCCAGAAAUUUCUUCACUUGGGGCCUACUGGGGAUGGCAAUAAAAAAAAAACUAACCAAGCUGUGGGAAUACAAACCUGUAGACCUUUAGCUGAACCACUACAAUUGAUGUUCUGUUUCUUAUGCCUGUUCAGUGUUUUGAUCAGUUAUAUAUGUAAUUGU